rnacentral:SRP_RNA from 1 species
GCCAGGCAUGGUGGUUUGUGCCUGUAGUCCCAGCUACUCAGGAGGCCGAGGUGGGAGGAUUGCUUGAGCCCAGGAGGUUGAGGCUGCAGUGAGCUGUGAUUACACCACUGCACUCCAGCCUGGGCAACAGAGCAAGACUCUGUCUCAA